rnacentral:misc_RNA from 1 species
GAGGAGCAUGGGAACGCUGUCGCUGGUCUCUGGUGCUGGACUUAGAGGCAUGUGCACGCUACUACCAUGGGAUCCCUCGACGUCUUUCAUCCAUCUAUCACCUGUGCACCUAAUGUAGGUUGGUAUGGUUCUGGUGAAACGGAAUCGGAGAACCUAUGUCUUCAUAUACGUCUUUGUGUAGAAAGUCUCAGAAUGUUUUUACUAUCAGAGAGUCGCGACUUCUAGGAGACGUGAAUCUUUGAGUCAAAAGUUAUUACAACUUUCAGCAAUGGAUCUCUUGGCUCUCGCAUCGAUGAAGAACGCAGCGAAACGCGAUAUGUAAUGUGAAUUGCAAAUCUACAGUGAAUCAUCGAAUCUUUGAACGCACCUUGCGCUCCUUGGUAU